GACGAACGCUGGCGGCGUGCUUAACACAUGCAAGUCGAACGGAAAGACCCUGCUUUUGUGGGGUGCUCGAGUGGCGAACGGGUGAGUAACACGUGAGUAACCUGCCCUUGACUUUGGGAUAACUUCAGGAAACUGGGGCUAAUACCGGAUAGGAGCUCCUGCUGCAUGGUGGGGGUUGGAAAGUUUCGGCGGUUGGGGAUGGACUCGCGGCUUAUCAGCUUGUUGGUGGGGUAGUGGCUUACCAAGGCUUUGACGGGUAGCCGGCCUGAGAGGGUGACCGGCCACAUUGGGACUGAGAUACGGCCCAGACUCCUACGGGAGGCAGCAGUGGGGAAUAUUGCACAAUGGGCGGAAGCCUGAUGCAGCAACGCCGCGUGCGGGAUGACGGCCUUCGGGUGGUAAACCGCUUUCGCCUGUGACGAAGCGUGAGUGACGGUAAUGGGGAAAGAAGCACCGGCUAACUACGU
rnacentral:rRNA from 1 species